rnacentral:lncRNA from 1 species
CAUGAGCAACAAGGUGAGAGAUGUUCAAGCUAGUGCAGUUGAUAGGAGCAGGAGAGGGACAAGACCGAUCCCGAAGAGGGGUCAGAUCAAGUCGAGAAUGGCAGCGAAUGCUUUUAACUCCAUUGUCUUUGUGCUGUCUAAAGCUGCUGGCAGUCCGAACCGUCGUCAUUCCCACCGGAAUACAUACUUGAAGGAAGCCUAGAGCAUUAUAAUUAGUGAACAUAUACAAAAUAUUGUAUUGCAAUUAACUUGUUAAUGUAUUAUAAAG